AGUGAACGCUGGCGGUAGGCCUAACACAUGCAAGUCGAACGGCAGCACAGUAAGAGCUUGCUCUUACGGGUGGCGAGUGGCGGACGGGUGAGGAAUACAUCGGAAUCUACUUUUUCGUGGGGGAUAACGUAGGGAAACUUAAGCUAAUACCGCAUACGACCUACGGGUGAAAGCAGGGGAUCUUCGGACUUUGCGCGAUUGAAUGAGCCGAUGUCGGAUUAGCUAGUUGGUGGGGUAAAGGCCUACCAAGGCGACGAUCCGUAGCUGGUAUGAGAGGAUGAUCAGCCACACUGGGACUGAGACACGGUCCAGAAUCCUACGGGAGGCAGCAGUGGGGAAUACUGGACAACGGGCGAAAGCCUGAUCCAGCAAUGCCGCGUGAGUGAUGAAGGCCUUAGGGUUGUAAAGCUCUUUUACCCGCGAUGAUAAUGACAGUACCGGGAGAAUAAGCUCCGGCUAACUCCGUG
rnacentral:rRNA from 1 species